rnacentral:tRNA from 1 species
GCCAAAGUGGCGGAACUGGCAGACGCGCACGACUCAAAAUCGUGUUCCUUCGGGAGUGUGGGUUCGAUUCCCACCUUUGGUA